rnacentral:rRNA from 1 species
UACAGAGGUCUCAAGCGUUGUUCGGAUUCAUUGGGCGUAAAGAGUGCGUAGGCGGCGCGGUAAGCCGGAUGUGAAAUCCCGGGCUUAACCUGGGAAUGGCAUUCGGGACUGCAAGGCUGGAGUGCGGCAGAGGAGACUGGAAUUCCCGGUGUAGCGGUGAAAUGCGCAGAUAUCGGGAGGAACACCGGUGGCGAAGGCGGUUCUACUGG